CUCUGAGUGCAAUGAAUAAAAUUUGUUAUCAAAAAUGACGUGAGUGAUGAGUCACGUGAUGAGUUAGUAGAUAGUAAAUGCUGACUUAGGGUUAGCUAGGGAAAAUGGAUGACUUUCAAAGUCCCUGGACUAAUGAUGGUUUCUCUUAUCAUGUAGGCUAGUAAUUCUAGAUGAAACAAGAGAUAACACAUUUGCCUUUAAUGGACAUCCAGAAAUUGGCUAUAAUAUAAAUGAAAACUUAGAGGAUGAUGACGGGCAUUCAGCUACAAAUGGUAAGCCAGUUGCAAUAAUUCAAUGUUUAUUUGCUUUUCAAAUAUACAUUCAAGAAGAGGAUGAUGACAAUUAUGUUGGAGAGAGUUCUAUUGAUGAUUUGCCCCCAAAAGAUUUGGGAGUUCCAAGUGUAGUUGUAAUGGGAUCACUAACACUAUCAAUGGAGUGUUUCUUUCAAUCAAGGCAAAUUCAGUUUGAAGUCUGUGGUGAAGAGGAACGAAACUUUUCAAAUAAUCUGAUACACAGAAAAGUACCCGAGCCUUAUCAAACUCUCAUUACUGCAGAAAUGGAAGGAAUGAAGAAAGAUUGUGGCAAUGAUGACGAAUCAUACCUAACAAAAGAAAUCGAAGAUAAAACAUGUCACGGGAAAGGCAUGUGGGUAAUAGGAAAGCUGAAGUUUUGUCUACUUGAUGAUCCAUACAGUAAACUAACACCAGGCUAAAGCAUAUUAACAAUUUUAAACUGCUGCUAUCUUAACAAUUUUAAUGAUUUGAUAAAACUGCUGCUAUUUCUUUGUGAUACAUGUGCAUUGAGAAUGUGUUUCUAAAAUAAAAA